UACGAAGGGGGCUAGCGUUGCUCGGAAUCACUGGGCGUAAAGGGCGCGUAGGCGGCCAUAUAAGUUAGGGGUGAAAGCCUGUGGCUCAACCACAGAAUUGCCUUUGAUACUGUAUGGCUCGAGUCCGGAAGAGGUAAGUGGAACUGCGAGUGUAGAGGUAAAAUUCGUAGAUAUUCGCAAGAACACCAGUGGCGAAGGCGGCUUACUGGUCCGGUUCUGACGCUGAGGCUCGAAAGCGUGGGGAGCAAACAGG
rnacentral:rRNA from 1 species